rnacentral:rRNA from 1 species
AUUGAACGCUGGCGGCAGGCCUAACACAUGCAAGUCGAACGAGUGGCGGGCGGGUGGGUAAUGUAUGUGACACUGCACGAUGGAGGGGGAUAACUAAUGGAAACGGUAGCUAAUACCGUAUACCAUCGGCUGUGCCCAGUUGGGAUGAGCUAGUAGGUGGGGUAACGGCUCACCUAGGCGACGAUCCCUAGCUGGUCUGAGAGGAGCACCAUCCCCACUGGAACUGAGACACGGUCCAGACUCCUCCAUGAAUCAUCAUUAUUUAAUAUUGCACAAUUGGCGCAAUCCUGAUCCAGCAAUGCCGCGUGUAUGAAGAAAUCCUUCGGGUUUUAAAGUACUUUCAGCGAGGAGGCGUUACUAGCAGAAGAAGCACCGGCUAACUCCGUGCCAGCCGCCGCGGUAAUUC